rnacentral:rRNA from 1 species
GGCUCAGGAUGAACGCUGGCGGCGUGCUUAACACAUGCAAGUCGAACGAUGAAGCCCAGCUUGCUGGGUGGAUUAGUGGCGAACGGGUGAGUAACACGUGAGUAACCUGCCCUUAACUCUGGGAUAAGCCUGGGAAACUGGGUCUAAUACCGGAUAGGAGCGUCCACCGCAUGGUGGGUGUUGGAAAGAUUUAUCGGUUUUGGAUGGACUCGCGGCCUAUCAGCUUGUUGGUGAGGUAAUGGCUCACCAAGGCGACGACGGGUAGCCGGCCUGAGAGGGUGACCGGCCACACUGGGACUGAGACACGGCCCAGACUCCUACGGGAGGCAGCAGUGGGGAAUAUUGCACAAUGGGCGCAAGCCUGAUGCAGCGACGCCGCGUGAGGGAUGACGGCCUUCGGGUUGUAAACCUCUUUCAGUAGGGAAGAAGCGAAAGUGACGGUACCUGCAGAAGAAGCACCGGCUAACUACGUGCCAGCAGCCGCGGUAAUACGUAGGGUGCGAGCGUUAUCCGGAAUUAUUGGGCGUAAAGAGCUCGUAGGCGGUUUGUCGCGUCUGUCGUGAAAGUCCGGGGCUUAACCCCGGAUCUGCGGUGGGUACGGGCAGACUAGAGUGCAGUAGGGGAGACUGGAAUUCCUGGUGUAGCGGUGGAAUGCGCAGAUAUCAGGAGGAACACCGAUGGCGAAGGCAGGUCUCUGGGCUGUAACUGACGCUGAGGAGCGAAAGCAUGGGGAGCGAACAGGAUUAGAUACCCUGGUAGUCCAUGCCGUAAACGUUGGGCACUAGGUGUGGGGACCAUUCCACGGUUUCCGCGCCGCAGCUAACGCAUUAAGUGCCCCGCC